AGUAUGCUACCAUUAAAAAAAAAAUUCACCACCUUGAUCCCAAGAUGCCUGUUAACAAAAACAAUCACUUCAAGAAGCAAGGACUUUAAUGAGGCAAGAUUUCUGAUAUAUGUGAACAAAUCCUGUACUCCACAUUCAAAAUAUUUGUAAACAAAUUAAAGUUUCAUAGCUGGUGGGGGUUUUUUUCCAAAGCUAAAAUGUUAACAAGUUCCCAGGAAAGUCUUUAAAAAGGAUGGUUUAUAUACAGACAAUUUUUUUGUAUAUUCCAAGCAAUUAGUAUAUUUCACAGCAAUGUCGUUUAAAACCCUUCAAUUUCAACAAGCAAAAAAUAUUAACGAGUCUUAAGAUUAUUCCUGAAUACUAAAAAAGUCUCCCACUUCCAUCUGGAAUGAGCAAUGAGAUGAGGAAGCUCUCCUCUGACGUGUCAAAAAACAAACGCAAGAACUACACAAGCAUUCCACAGUCCUUAGUGGGCACAGCAUUAAGUUGGUCUGGCAGCACACUUUGCUCUUCUCAGAAGAUGUUCUUCCAAAUCAUUUUUAAUUCCUAUACGCUGAAUGAUAAGGAACACGUAUUUCAGAGGUAAGAAAACAAGCUUAGAAGGGAUGUUGGCGGGACUGAAGCUGCGCGCACGGGCCCGUGUGAGCCAAGCCCGUUUAACCGCUCCUCAGGACGGUGACCAAGGACUAGGAAAGGAGUGCGGGGUACCGGAGGGAAGGAAGCAAGGCUUUCAGGAUUUCGGGGAGACGCUCCCAAAGCCCAAGGCAGGAACGCUCCCCAGACAAGACACAAAAAUACGGCCCGAGCUGGAGCGACGGCACCGCCCCACACGGCGCGGCGACAGCAGAAAAGACCUUAAAAUGGCGCCCGUGGGGGAGGAGAGCGGGUGAAACUGCGCAACAAACGCUGGCAGGGAGCCAGGCAGCGCCAUCUUCCCGCUCCCCCGCGCAGCCGGGGCUGCCUGCCCGCCGAGCCCGGGCACGGCCGGGGCCGCCGCCGGAGCCGCUCUCCCUGUCCCCUGCAAUCCCUCGGCCACCCCGCGCUGCCGAGCCCGAGGAAGGAGAGAGAGGAGCGGCCAGCAGGGAAUGGCGAAAGGCAGAGGCCUCCACGUCUCAUUCGUCCCCGCAGUGAUUAGAAACAGCACUAAGUAAAUAUGAACGUGCCCUCUAUACGUCGUUCGAUUUUGUCCGGCUUUUACCGUCUUUAUACCCGUUUUCUGCCAUCAGCUAUAACUGAAUUUUGCAAUUAAUACCAAAAAAAACAAAAUAUAAUUUA